GCGGACGGGUGAGUAAAGCGCAGACAACCUAUCGGACGGCGGGGGAUAACUCCGGGAAACCGGAGCUAAUACCGCAUGAGGCCGGAGGCCCGCAUGGGCUUUCGGUGAAAGUCUUCGGACGCCGGCCGGGGGGUUUGCGUGUCAUUAGCUGGUUGGUGGGGUAACGGCUCACCAAGGCGAUGAUGGCUAGCUGGUCUGAGAGGAUGAUCAGCCACACGGGGACUGAGACACGGCCCCGACUCCUACGGGAGGCAGCAGUGAGGAAUCUUGCGCAAUGGGGGCAACCCUGACGCAGCCACGCCGCGUGGAGGAAGACGGCCCUACGGGUUGUAAACUCCUUUUCUGGCCGAAGAACCCAGGUCCUGCGGGACCUGCUGACGGUAGGUCAGGAAUAAGCACCGGCUAACUCCGUGCCAGCAGCCGCGGUAAUACGGAGGGUGCAAGCGUUGUCCGGAAUCAUUGGGUGUAAAGGGUACGCAGGCGGGCGUCUGCGUCCGGGGUGAAAUCCUGCCGCUUAACGGUAGAAGGGCCUCGGAUAC
rnacentral:rRNA from 1 species